AGGAACCCUCAUCUACCCUCUCCCUGACCAUCAUCAUCAUCAUCGUCCUGGUCGCUGUUAUACUUCUCCUAGUUAUCAUUCUUAUCUGUAUCUGCUGUUGCUGCUGUAGGAACAGACGGUUACCUGAGAAGAAGAACAGUUUGGAUAGCCUGGAAGACCCUAUUGACUAUGUUGACCGGAAAACUCCGUUGUAUGAUGAACUUUCAAUACCCUUCAUAGAUGCCUCACUACCCCCAACUCCUAAGGUUGGUCGAAGCAGAGAUCAGCUGGCAAUACUAUUGGGGAGAGGAUCUAAAUCAUCAUUAUCAAAUGAUGGAGAUUGAUGAUUUUUUUCUGCACUCAGCACUGUAAAUGGUACAUUCACCAGGCCUUAUACAAGCAGUCAUCAGGCCUAGAUCAAGGCCAACAAGCAACCGAGGUCUAAAUAGUGAAGCUGAAUCUUUGAACAUUAAAAUAUAAAAAGCUUGAUAAACCUUUAUGCUAACAGACAGUGUUUUCGUCAAGAAAUCAAAGAACCCGUCAAAAACGUCCAGCUGCAGAAAAAUAUGGAAAUAGUACAUAUCUAUCUCAACAAGCUUAAAGGAACUAUACCGUGUAAUUUCAAGUGACCCUCCGCGGUGCAAAGAGAGCAUCGUCCUAUUUUCAAUGGAAUCCUUGAAACCUUAAUCUUAUAAAAAAUGUGAACGAUGCCGUCAUUUUUCUCGCUCGAAAAGUUUUUUUCUGUGAAUUUCUUUAUUGUUUCUUAAAAACAAAAAAUACGCAAGUCUCUUUCGCAGAGAAACC